rnacentral:lncRNA from 1 species
GUUCGUCAAUUUUCUAUUUCACUAAAAAUAUGCUAGACAGAUCGUUGUUAGAACCGACGGACAAAAGUUAAAUUUAAUUCUACUCUUACCUGUUCUACUCGAAGAAUAGCGGUCGUAAGAGGUCGAUCCACAGGGAGGCGAUUGGAGUUGCAUAAAAAUCAGAAUGUUCACUCGGAUUUGAAAUCGAUUUUUGAAUGAUUAAAGAAAACAUUAUUUUGAAGAUGUUGAUGGAUUCCCUGGUCUACCGGAGAAUGUUUUCUAAUUGAAAUUAAUUGAAAGACAGGUACUUAAA